CCUACGGGUGGCUGCAGUGAGGAAUUUUGCACAAUGGAGGUAACUCUGAUGCAGCGACGCCGUGUGUAGGAUGAAGGGGCUCUGCCCUGUAAACUACUGUCGGAUAGGAAUAAAAGUUGGGUUGCCCAACUGGGAAUGUACUAUCAAAGGAAGGAUCGGCUAACUACGUGCCAGCAGCCGCGGUAAUACGUAGGAUCCGAGCGUUGUCCGGAUUUACUGGGUAUAAAGGGUGCGUAGGCGGGUUUGUGCUUCAGAGGUUAAAGACCGCAGCUCAACUGCGGGAGUGCCUCUGAUAAGGCAAAUCUUGGAUAUGAGAGGGGUAGGUAGAAUUCCUGGUGUAGCGGUGAAAUGCGUAGAUAUCAGGAGGAAUACCAGUGGCGAAGGCGGCCUACUGGCUCAUAAUCGACGCUGAGGCACGAAAGCGUGGGGAUCAAACAGGAUUAGAUACCCCAGUAGUC
rnacentral:rRNA from 1 species